UGGUAGUCCACGCUGUAAACGAUGAAUACUAGGUGUGCGGGGACUGACCCCCUGCGUGCCGCAGCUAACGCAAUAAGUAUUCCACCUGGGGAGUACGAUCGCAAGGUUGAAACUCAAAGGAAUUGACGGGGGCCCGCACAAGCGGUGGAUUAUGUGGUUUAAUUCGAUGCAACGCGAAGAACCUUACCAGGGCUUGACAUCCUACUAACGAGAUAGAGAUAUGUUAGGUGCCCUU
rnacentral:rRNA from 1 species